rfam:Candidatus Kaiserbacteria bacterium RIFCSPHIGHO2_02_FTLL_55_25 rifcsphigho2_02_scaffold_6534, whole genome shotgun sequence.
AUCUGCUGCAGGCGUUGAUUCUUGAGGAGAUUUGUUUCUAGUACGAGAGGACCGAAAUGAACUGACCUCUGGUCUGGGGGCUGUACCACCAGGUGCAUCGCCCCGUAGCUAUGUCGGGAUAGGAUAACCGCUGAAAGCAUCUAAGCGGGAAACCAACUCCAAGAUAAGGAAUCGUUUGAGGGCCGUGGGAGAUGACCACGUUGAUAGGCGACAGGUGGAAGCGCAGCAAUGCGUUGAGCCGAGUCGUACUAAUACCCCGACAGAACUCCUGAA